GAAAAUAAAAGGCUUAGCGGUUAGAAAGGAGAAGCGGAGCAAUGGCUUAACAUAUUUGUCGCGAAACCAUCCAUUUUUAGGCCAUUUCCAAAACAGCAACGAAAGCCUUCACAUCUCUUCCCUUAAAAUUCCUCUUUGAUUUCCAACCAAAUCAGAGAGCACAAAGAAAACAACAAAGGGGGAAAAGAGAAGUAGAAGUAGAAGAUAGAAGAACACAACAGAAGAUCUCUCUCUCUCUCUCUCUCUCUAGCUGGUGUUUUAGCGAUGUUUCGUUAAGAAUCAUUUGGAGGUUGAUGUAUGAAAUCCAGCACUGGGGAAUAAUGGGUAAAACAAUGGAGGUUCAGCGUAUGAAGGAAUUGUUGUUACUUUGGUCGAGGUUCCAAAGUAAUCGUGUGGCUCUCGUGGGUGGAAAUCACACUGCCGCUCGAUUUUGCACUCGCUAAGUUUUGCCUUCUUCAUUCCUCUCUUUCUCGCCUGUUAUAAUCUCUUCCUUGUUUUACUUUAAUAUGCUAUCUCUCGAUUUUCUUUUCCGGAAAAGUUUUCUAUUUUUCUUCUCGUACAAUCUACCUUGCCUUUGAUCACCUUUGUUUUCUGAAUUUUUGUGAUUGGAUUUGUAAGCCCUUUUUUCUUUGUGUUUUAAUCGAUCAUUUGGAUCAAUGGCUGUCCAUAUUAUUUAUGGACUUCUAAACAAAUUCCAUAAAAACAAGCAUAAAGCCUUGAAAAAUGGCAUUAAUUUGCAGUCUGGUGCACGAUUGAUCGUCAAAGUUCCUCGCUCUAGGGUUUUUAAGCUUCUUGCUCGGUUCUUGACGGUUUUGGCUUUGACCAUAUUUUUUCUUCCUUGGUCGGGAAUAAGAUUUAUCGUCAACGACGAACCCACUCUGCCUGUUUAUACAAUCAAGCCUGAAGUUGUCCCUGAGGCCGCUGAUCCCAUUAAUCUGGAAUCACUGCUAUUGCUGUACAAUUAUUUGAACAAUGAAGGUAUUCUGAAACCGGGAAACAAAGGACUAUUGUUAAGCGAUGACUAUGAUGAAGAAUCCAUUCAGGGAAAUUCCUUCCUAACCAAAACUGAUAUGGAAUUCAGUUCUACAAAUGACUUUGAUCGACUAAUGUUAAUCCCUGACGAGUCCUUCGAUUUCAUCUUCACUGAAAACAUUCAAUCCACCCUCGAAUUCAUCGACCGGAGUCUCAAAGUUGGCGGUAUUGUUGCUGUUCAGCAGCUGGACUCAUCGCUUUUAUUCAACAAGCCGUCUAAUUACAAGAUUGUUUACUUCAGGAAAUUCAAUUCCAACCUUUUUGUGAUGAAAAAGGUUGAGAAUGCUCGACCGAUCCCAAGUUCCCAAAGGCGGCUUUUGGGGUAUAAUACAUCAGAAGCGAAACGGGCAGCAUUGAAGAAAUUGGAAGACGUUCUUCUUGAACCACCAAGAGCAUCCUCAGGGACGUCCAGAACUUACCUUAAACGAACGAAAUAUUUGCCAGAUCUAUUGGGGGACUCACUCGAAAGCUACCCCGUCGGGUUUUCAUUGAUGUAGGCUUGUUUAAGAAAGAUGGCGGCAGUGCCACCACCUGGUUUGUCAAGAAUUAUCCCACAAGGAAUCUGAAGUUCGAGAUGUACAAGAUCGAGACACUGACCAAGGACUCUACCAAGAAAGAGGUGCCGCAGACUGCGGCGGAGACUGGGAUGUCGGGUUGGCUGAGGAAGAACGUGCAGGAGGAAGAGUAUGUAGUGAUGAAGGCUGAGGCUGAAGUGGUUGAAGAUAUGGUGAAGAGCAAGGCUAUUAGAUUGGUUGAUGAGCUGUUCUUGGAAUGCAAACCUAAAGGACUUGGUGGAAGAAAGAACAUGAGCGGAAGGGCUUACUGGGAAUGCUUGGCUUUGUAUGGGAAGUUAAGGGAUGAAGGUGUCGCAGUGCAUCAAUGGUGGGGUUGAAGGGAAGUUUGUUUAAGCAGAGUGAAACAUGUUUAAGGUGUGAGAGAGAGAUCUAUAUGUAUAUAUAAUAUUAUUAUGUUCCAAUACGAUUUCAAGAAGAAAAAUCCAAUUUUUAAUUUCUUAUAUGUGUAUACAACAAAAGUUAAAAACAAAAAAAAAAAAAAAGGUCACGCAAACAAGC